AUCCAGCUGACGAGUCCCAAAUAGAACGAAAUGCGCGUCCUGGAU
rfam:Schistosoma rodhaini strain Burundi genome assembly, scaffold: SROB_scaffold0001188